CGCGCAGGCGGAUCCUGUAAGUCGGAAGUGAAAUUUCGGGGCUCAACCCCGAAGCUGCUUCUGAUACUGCGGAUCUGGGGACCGGUAGAGGCUGGUGGAAUUGCAGGUGUAGCGGUGGAAUGCGUAGAGAUCUGCAAGAACACCCGUGGCGAAGGCGGCCAGCUGGGCCGGAUCCGACGCUGAGGCGCGAAAGCGUGGGGAGCAAACAGGAUUAGAUACCCUGGUAGUCCACGCCGUAAACGAUGGGCACUAGGUGCUGGGGGGAGCGACCCCGUCAGUGCCGCAGCUAACGCGAUAAGUGCCCCGCCUGGGGAGUACGGCCGCAAGGCUGAA
rnacentral:rRNA from 1 species